GGGGCCCCGCGGGAUGCAGGGAGCACCGGGACCACCGGGCAAGCUGGGCAGACGGGGCCGUGCUGGAGCUGACGGUGCCAGGGGGCUGCCGGGGGAACCCGGCCCUAAGGGAGACAGAGGCUUCGAUGGGCUGCCGGGGCUGCCGGGGGAGAAGGGGCACAGGG